rnacentral:rRNA from 1 species
CAUAGGUUAAUGAGGCGAACCGGGGGAACUGAAACAUCUAAGUACCCCGAGGAAAAGAAAUCAACCGAGAUUCCCCCAGUAGCGGCGAGCGAACGGGGAGGAGCCCAGAGCCUGAAUCAGUGUGUGUGUUAGUGGAAGCGUCUGGAAAGGCGCGCGAUACAGGGUGACAGCCCCGUACACAAAAAUGCACAUAUUGUGAGCUCGAUGAGUAGGGCGGGACACGUGGUAUCCUGUCUGAAUAUGGGGGGACCAUCCUCCAAGGCUAAAUACUCCUGACUGACCGAUAGUGAACCAGUACCGUGAGGGAAAGGCGAAAAGAACCCCGGCGAGGGGAGUGAAAAAGAACCUGAAACCGUGUACGUACAAGCAGUGGGAGCCUCUUUAUGGGGUGACUGCGUACCUUUUGUAUAAUGGGUCAGCGACUUAUAUUCUGUAGCAAGGUUAACCGAAUAGGGGAGCCGAAGGGAAACCGAGUCUUAACUGGGCGUUAAGUUGCAGGGUAUAGACCCGAAACCCGGUGAUCUAGCCAUGGGCAGGUUGAAGGUUGGGUAACACUAACUGGAGGACCGAACCGACUAAUGUUGAAAAAUUAGCGGAUGACUUGUGGCUGGGGGUGAAAGGCCAAUCAAACCGGGAGAUAGCUGGUUCUCCCCGAAAGCUAUUUAGGUAGCGCCUCGUGAAUUCAUCUCCGGGGGUAGAGCACUGUUUCGGCAAGGGGGUCAUCCCGACUUACCAACCCGAUGCAAACUGCGAAUACCGGAGAAUGUUAUCACGGGAGACACACGGCGGGUGCUAACGUCCGUCGUGAAGAGGGAAACAACCCAGACCGCCAGCUAAGGUCCCAAAGUCAUGGUUAAGUGGGAAACGAUGUGGGAAGGCCCAGACAGCCAGGAUGUUGGCUUAGAAGCAGCCAUCAUUUAAAGAAAGCGUAAUAGCUCACUGGUCGAGUCGGCCUGCGCGGAAGAUGUAACGGGGCUAAACCAUGCACCGAAGCUGCGGCAGCGACACUAUGUGUUGUUGGGUAGGGGAGCGUUCUGUAAGCCUGUGAAGGUGGCCUGUGAGGGUUGCUGGAGGUAUCAGAAGUGCGAAUGCUGACAUAAGUAACGAUAAAGCGGGUGAAAAGCCCGCUCGCCGGAAGACCAAGGGUUCCUGUCCAACGUUAAUCGGGGCAGGGUGAGUCGACCCCUAAGGCGAGGCCGAAAGGCGUAGUCGAUGGGAAACAGGUUAAUAUUCCUGUACUUGGUGUUACUGCGAAGGGGGGACGGAGAAGGCUAUGUUGGCCGGGCGACGGUUGUCCCGGUUUAAGCGUGUAGGCUGGUUUUCCAGGCAAAUCCGGAAAACCAAGGCUGAGGCGUGAUGACGAGGCACUACGGUGCUGAAGCGACAAAUGCCCUGCUUCCAGGAAAAGCCUCUAAGCAUCAGGUAACAUCAAAUCGUACCCCAAACCGACACAGGUGGUCAGGUAGAGAAUACCAAGGCGCUUGAGAGAACUCGGGUGAAGGAACUAGGCAAAAUGGUGCCGUAACUUCGGGAGAAGGCACGCUGAUAUGUAGGUGAAGCGACUUGCUCGUGGAGCUGAAAUCAGUCGAAGAUACCAGCUGGCUGCAACUGUUUAUUAAAAACACAGCACUGUGCAAACACGAAAGUGGACGUAUACGGUGUGACGCCUGCCCGGUGCCGGAAGGUUAAUUGAUGGGGUUAGCGGUAACGCGAAGCUCUUGAUCGAAGCCCCGGUAAACGGCGGCCGUAACUAUAACGGUCCUAAGGUAGCGAAAUUCCUUGUCGGGUAAGUUCCGACCUGCACGAAUGGCGUAAUGAUGGCCAGGCUGUCUCCAC